rnacentral:rRNA from 1 species
GACGAACGCUGGCGGCGUGCUUAACACAUGCAAGUCGAACGAUGAAGCCGGAGCUUGCUCUGGUGAAUUAGUGGCGAACGGGUGAGUAACACGUGAGUAACCUGCCCUUGACUCUGGGAUAACUGCGGGAAACUGUAGCUAAUACCGGAUACGACCCUCGGAGGCAUCUCCUGGGGGUGGAAAGUUUUUCGGAAAGGGAUGGAGUCGCGGCCUAUCAGCUUGUUGGUGAGGUAACGGCUCACCAAGGCGACGACGGGUAGCCGGCCUGAGAGGGCGACCGGCCACACUGGGACUGAGACACGGCCCAGACUCCUACGGGAGGCAGCAGUGGGGAAUAUUGCACAAUGGGCGCAAGCCUGAUGCAGCGACGCCGCGUGAGGGAUGAAGGUCUUCGGAUUGUAAACCUCUUUCAGUAGGGACGAAGCGAAAGUGACGGUACCUAAAGAAGAAGCACCGGCUAACUACGUGCCAGCAGCCGCCGUAA